rnacentral:rRNA from 1 species
UGAUCCAGCCAUGCCGCGUGCAGGAUGAAGGUCUAUGGAUUGUAAACUGCUUUUGUAAGGGAAGAAUAAGGAGUACGUGUACUUUGAUGACGGUACCUUACGAAUAAGCAUCGGCUAACUCCGUGCCAGCAGCCGCGGUAAUACGGAGGAUGCGAGCGUUAUCCGGAAUCAUUGGGUUUAAAGGGUCCGUAGGCGGGCUGAUAAGUCAGAGGUGAAAGCGCCUAGCUCAACUAAGCAACUGCCUUUGAAGCUGUCAGUCUUGAAUGAUUGUGAAGUAGUUGGAAUGUGUAGUGUAGCGGUGAAAUGCUUAGAUAUUACACAGAACACCGAUAGCGAAGGCAUAUUACUAACAAUUUAUUGACGCUGAUGGACGAAAGCGUGGGGAGCGAACAGGAUUAGAUACCCUGGUAGUCCACGCUGUAAACGAUGGAUACUAGCUGUUUGGAGCAAUCUGAGUGGCUAAGCGAAGUGAUAAGUAUCCCACCUGGGGAGUACGCAC